UUGACUGAUUGCCUUCUGCUAGUGUUAUUAGUAGUUUUGCAUAUCUGCAGUGCUUGCGUUAUCAUGUCUUGAGUAUUUUUUUUGUCUAGUGUAUUUUGUAUUCGUGUGCAAUUAGCUGUAACGUGGUCAUAGCAUCUUUAAUUGGUUUUGUUCCGUGUGUAUUUGAUAACAAUGACCAAAGACAUUGUAACUACACAUUCAGCUUAAAAUUUCGUGAAUUUCGCUCAUUGUAAGUAAAUUCCAAUAUCCAAAGACAUUAAUGACAGAUAGAUGACAGUUUUUGAAAACACUUGGACAUCCUGUAGUAAAUAUUUUCACGGAUGAAGCAGACAAAGGAAAUGAAAUAACCGAUAAUUAAGACGUAAAAAGCUCCCGAAAAGUUGCUUAAUGAAAUUUGUCUAGUAUUCCCGGACACUGCCCUUUUGUGCUGCCUCCUACGAGCUUCAUCCAGGCAUUUGAAAUUCAGCACCCUUUGGCAAAGAUUCUGGUGUAUGGACUCCUUUUCGGCAAAGCCCAAGCCAAUGUUCCAGAAUUGCUGUUGCGUCGUUACAUUGAAAUGGGCAUAAGAUCCAGAUUUGACAAGGUCAACGCACUCUUGAAGCGUCACACAAUUGGAUUUCGUCUGGGAUCGCAUUUUAUCGCCAAGCUGUUUGUAGAGUCCCGGUUUGUUAUCACUCUGAUAGGACAAUAAUUUUUAAAAAUGUGACCACAUUUGUGAUUUUAUUUGAAUUCCAUUGUACCAAGAGAGCGAGUUCGAUACCACGUCCUUUUUCAACGACAAGCUGGACGUUGGGAUUCUUGACCAGUUCUGCAAGGGAAUCUACCAAAGGUUCGCUGUUGGAUCCCAGGAUGUAAGAAAUCAAGAGGCUGUUAUAAGCACAGCCAAUUACCAAAGCCCCCAGACACCAAGAUCCAACAACAAAGUAAACCGCAUUUCGCAUCCGUGGAAAGUAUACCCCUGUGACAAUUGCAUCAUUGGUAAGUUUAACUGUUUUUCGUUUCAAUAUGCUCACCUUGAAACAGUAAAAUCUGUACAAGCUGAAAAAAGGCUUGACGUGCACCAAAUAGAAAUUGACUAAUCUUUCCGCAAUAUUUUCCAUUCAACGAUGCUUUAGAAGUCACUGGACGAAUUGAAAAGUAAACUACUACAGCGGUAAUAGGCGUCACGGUCAACAAUCCGAUCCAAACCUAUUUCCAAUAUGUCACCUCUGUUAUUAAUUUCCCAGAAAACUAGUUUGAUUGAAACGAGUCAAAUCAUUUACAGCGAGAUUAAAAGGUUGAAGGAUAGCGCAAGAAUUGUCUGAUAAUUCGGGCAUCGGGAUUAGUAGAGCUGCGUCCGUGUACGCGUAUCCUUCGGCGAGAUCCAUAGCUGCGAAACGCCUAGACGUCAUCAGAAGAGCUCCGAUGACCAAGUCACAUUUCUGGAACGCAUUAUAAGUAUGCAAGACCUGGGAGAACAUUGCUUUGUUUUUCUAACCGAGUGUCGUUGACUUGAAGAAACGAGUACCUGCAAUUCCCGUUACGUAAUAUGUGUAUGUAAAAGCUUGAAAUCUGUCAUUACGUGAAAUUUAAACGAAGAGAUAGUGCAGCCAAAGUCCAAGCAGCUACGCCAUCAACUUUGAUAAUAUGACCGGAUAUGUUUCUCUUCACAUAAAGAUGGGUUUCGAUUUCCUUGAGAAAAUUACAUUUUAAAAUUUUAGCUAAAAAUAAAUUAUGCAUUUUCAUAUUUAGAUGAUAGAAGCCAACACAAACCUGGACUCCAACGAUGAGGUGUUUUCCGCUCAGAUAAGUAGCGUCGCUUGAAACGCAUCUUACCAAUCCAAGUAGAAGCAACAGCCAGUGUUCUGUCAUCUAGCUAGAUAAUUAUUUUCAAAACUUGCGACAUACAAGUUGAAUAGUUUUGAAGAUGUGUCGGUCAUCGGGGGAAAAAUCAUUCUUUUUAUCAGCUGGAAUCUUGCAGCAACCCGCUAGAGUUGUCAGGGAAACCCUGAAAUAAAAACACACAAACAAAUUAUUGGGGAAUAAAUAUAUUCAAAAGUUAAAAAAAAGGACAUAUUGUCUACCGACAAGUAAACGGCGUAUACCUUGUCGUAAAUUUUUAAAAUCCAAUUGUUAAGCAUACGUUAAAAAAAUAUCAUGUACGUACAUUUAGUUUUUCAAUAUUUGCUAUUGAAAUUUAUACUCUUCUACAAUCUACAAUUUUUCGAGCGAAAAGAGAUUUUUUUAUUAUGCAGAGCUAAUAUGUAAUUGGAGGGAAUUCAAUCAACACAAAAAAAAAUCAUUAAACAUUUUUGUGCAGCAUAUCGAGCUUUGUAAAUUGGCAAUGGGAAUUUUGGCAUCACUGCUUCCAUUCCCACGGAAGUUCGGUUGACAGUGUUGUAGUUCUGCAGGCCAGGCGUGACGUGGGUCGGUUUUCCAUUUUCAACUUGAUCUCGGUCGUCUGGACGAACCCUACCGACUCUCAUGGGUACGACAUUUAGACGGUAGGGUUCGUCCAGACGACCAUAGGCACGGUAGCGCUCGUGGUGGCAGAGGGCUACAACACACUGUCCUACAACAUACUGUCAAUAUAAACAAAGCAGUUCAAAAGUGUCAAUUCAGGUUUAUUGCAGGUUUAGUGCCGUUUCUCACAGUCACAGUAUGUCAGGUAGAGAUUUGAUGAAAGAUUCUCUGACCAGGCAUCGAGCCAGAACCAAAGCCGAUAAAAGAAAAACUGAUGCUUUAUAACAGGAACCUAAACGUUCAGGUAACUUCUUGACCGUAAUUUUGGCAGAGGCAGAGGCCGAGUUACCCAGUCUGAUGAAGUUGUAGCAGUUUCUAAUCAAGAAACUGCUAGUGAAAUAACUCCCAGUCUAAUGAAAGAAGUGGUGUACAGGAUAUCAUUCAUUCAGUCGAACUGGAAAAGACAUCAUUGAAGCAAGCAUUUCACAAUUUAACAAGUAGAAAAAGGAAGCAAUCAAGAAAGCGAGUGGAAAACUCGCAUGAAAGACAAAGAAGAUGCUUGGGAUGCCAAGAGAGAUGCUGUCUUUCAAAACUACAUUAGCUCCCGUUCCUACAGUGCAAGUAAAUGUGGUGUAUGUGAAAAAGGCACUAAUCCUGUACAUCACUGUUGAAGUGUCCCUUCCUGUCCAGAAUGCAAAAGCCCUCAUUCGUGUACUACGAAACCUGGUUCAAGAGACGUAACCGUAGUUACAGCCAAUGGUAAAUGAGGGCAACUUCACGGAGGACAACCGAUUACCAGGAUUACAUCGACGAAGACACAGCCAAUUAUCAAGACUACGCUGAUGAAGAAAAUGAAGAAAAAAACUGUUAUCCAUCGUUUAAAACGCUCACAUAUAUUGUCAUGCAAAUCUUGUAAUCACAUUUGAAAUACAGCUAUUGUUUGAAGGGAAUAAAAGUAUAAUAAUGA